rnacentral:lncRNA from 1 species
GUCCAAGACUCCAGCAGCAGCUCAGAGAGGGCUCCCUCUAGUAAAUCCUCAUCACUUGGCCCGAAGUCCAGACCUCCCUGGGGAGCAGACAGCUCCAGAAGGUGAGGACUGCAAAAUGGCUGCAAGUUAUAGGCCUCGCUGUGAUCGGAGCUGAAGAGGGAACCUGCGAGUGGGUACUGAGGUCCUUCUCCGCUCCUGAGGUGCUCAGUCCUGUUGGGGUCGGACCUCACCACUGCUGCGGGGCCUGCUUUCUGCGCUAGGUGGCGAAAUGCUGUGGGGCUCCCCUAUUCGGGGGAAUGCGGUAGUGAUGUAUAAGGUAUGAAAGAUGUGGCCUGCAGAGAGCCGGCACUAUCUCUACUGCUGCUGCUACUGCUGUUGCUGCCGAGGCUGCCACAGCCGCUACUGCUGCCGGCAGAGCUGCUGGGAGUGAGCAUCCCCCGUCUGGGAUAACCAGCUCCGCGGCAUCUCCUGCGUGCCCUGGCUCCACAGGGACCUGCCAGCCCUAGGGAACAAAAGCGGAGCCCCUUCUCGCCCUCUCCUGCAGCCAGAGGAUGAGUCGAGAGGGCUGAGCGGAGAGUGUGGUUCUUGGCGACUGGGCGGCGGAGAAGGUAGACGAAUUGAAGGAAAGAAACACUUCUGCAUGGGAUUUGAAAGCAUCAGAGAAUUUUAUCAUCUCCGACUCGUACCGACACGAGGACUGUUAGGUAAAGGCGUCUCCCACAACCUCCCGUCCAAUUUCUCUUACAUCACUCUUGGCGGGCAGCCAACCAGAAGCGCUUGCUAUUUUAUUCAGUAUCGCAUCUGCUGAGCCAACAUCCACCUGCCCUAUUUCACCUCCAUCCUCACUCUGUCCUCUGGAGUUUCACAGCAGAAACCUUGUCCCUCCUCUGUUGCUUCUACUGAAGUGACUCCACUUCAGAUGUUUGAGAAUGAUGCUCUUGGCUCAUUAUCUUCUUUUCUUUGAAUUUGUCUUGCUGUUUUAUUGUUUUCAAUGAUAAUAUAUGGAUUUUGUUGAGGUAAAAACCUACUUUGUGCCAGACUCUGUCCUAAAUGCCUUAGUAAGUUUUUAAUCUUACCAUAGCUGGUGAGUAUGCCCCAGUUUUACAGAACUCUCAUUGCCCCAGUUUUACAGAAGAGAUUAUUGAGGUCCAGCCCAGCUGGUGCAUGGCCUAGCUAGGAUCCAAUUCUAGGGUGCUAGCUGCAGACUCUGCCAUCUGAACCCUUAGUCUAUAUCCCUCCCUUUUAUAAUGUUACUAAUAAAAUAAUAUAAACGGUAUUAUUAUAGGUGCCA